rnacentral:rRNA from 1 species
UACGUAGGGGGCAAGCGUUGUCCGGAAUCAUUGGGCGUAAAGAGCGCGUAGGCGGUCCGGUAAGUCGGUUGUGAAAACUGGGGGCUCAACCCUCAGAGGCCGACCGAUACUGUCGGGCUAGAGUCCGGAAGAGGCGAGUGGAAUUCCUAGUGUAGAGGUGAAAUUCGUAGAUAUUAGGAAGAACACCAGUGGCGAAGGCGGCUCACUGGCCCGGUACUGACGCUGAGGCGCGAAAGCGUGGGGAGCAAACAGG